UACGGAGGAUGCAAGCGUUAUCCGGAAUGAUUGGGCGUAAAGCGUCUGUAGGUGGUUUCUUAAGUCCACUGUCAAAGAUCAGGGCUUAACCUUGGGCAGGCAGUGGAAACUAUGAAGCUUGAGUACGGUAGGGGCAGAGGGAAUUCCCGGUGUAGCGGUGAAAUGCGUAGAGAUCGGGAAGAACACCAAGGGCGAAAGCACUCUGCUGGGCCGAAACUGACACUGAGAGACGAAAGCUAGGGGAG
rnacentral:rRNA from 1 species